UGGGAAGCGAGUCCCGUUUCAAGUCGCGGUACUUCGUAGAGCUCUCCGGGGGUUGCACAUCAACCACAACUUGAAUAGGCCAAAGGCUGAAAGAAAAUGU
rnacentral:sRNA from 1 species